UACGGGGGGGGGCAAGCGUUGUUCGGAAUUACUGGGCGUAAAGGGCUCGUAGGCGGCCAACUAAGUCGGACGUGAAAUCCCCAGGCUCAACCUGGGAACUGCGUCCGAUACUGGAUGGCUUGAAUCCGGGAGAGGGAUGCAGAAUUCCAGGUGUAGCGGUGAAAUUCGUAGAUAUUGGGAAGAACACCGAGUGCGAAGGCGGCAACUGGUCCGUGCUGACGCUGAGGUGCGAAAGCGUGGGGAGCAAACAGG
rnacentral:rRNA from 1 species